rnacentral:rRNA from 1 species
GUGGAUAACUGUGGUAAUUCUAGAGCUAAUACAUGCACCAAAGCUCCGAUUUUUUGACGAGCGCAUCUAUUAGACCAAAAACCAAUCGAGAUUAUUCGCGCAUUCGUGCUCGAACUUCUCGUAACUUUGGUGACUCUGAAUAGUUUAGCUGAUCGCAUGGUCUCGCACCGGCGACGUAUCUAUCAAGUGUCUGCCUUAUCAACUUUCGAUGGUAGUUUAUAUGCCUACCAUGGUUGUAACGGGUAACGGAGAAUAAGGGUUCGACUCCGGAGAGGGAGCCUGAGAAACGGCUACCACAUCCAAGGAAGGCAGCAGGCGCGCAAAUUACCCACUCUCAGCACGAGGAGGUAGUGACGAAAAAUAACGAGACCGUUCUCUUCGAGGCCGGUUAUCGGAAUGAGUACAACUUAAAGCCGUUAAUAAGGAUCUAUGAGAGGGCAAGUCUGGUGCCAGCAGCCGCGGUAAUUCCAGCUCUCAAAGUGUAUAUCGUCAUUGCUGCGGUUAAAAAGCUCGUAGUUGGAUUUAAGCUCGAUGACUUGGUCCGUCCAUGGGAUGAGAACUGAGCUCAUCGGCUAAUUUUGUUGGUUUUGUUUAGGUAACCUUAAUCGGUCGCCUAGGCUGGCUAGCGAGUUUACUUUGAAAAAAUUAGAGUGCUCAACGCGGGCUUAAUGCCUGAAUAGUCGUGCAUGGAAUAAUGGAAUAGGAUCUCGGUUCUAUUUUGUUGGUUUUCUGAUCUGAGAUAAUGGUUAAGAGGGACAGACGGGGGCAUUCGUAUCGCUGCGUGAGAGGUGAAAUUCUUGGACCGUAGCGAGACGCCCGACUGCGAAAGCAUUUGCCAAGAAUGUCUUCAUUAAUCAAGAACGAAAGUCAGAGGUUCGAAGGC